AAAUAGAAAUCGAUAAAACGAUUAAUCGAUAUAUAGUUCGAUUUUUAAAUACGUUAAUAGUUUACCAGCUUGAACUAGCAGCACCAUCUGUGUUACCUCAAUAAUGAAUAUUCAACGUUUCGUUAUCUCAUUCCCUGGAAAGGUUUGAAAACAAGAUAUGCAGGAAAAUUCGCGUUUAAGAAUGGAAAUCAUUGACAUUACACGACAUUCCAAUUCAUUAUUUGCUGUUGAAAAGUCACAUCAGAGGAUUUUGAUCAGGUA